GACAGAGGAUGCAAGCGUUAUCCGGAAUCACUGGGCGUAAAGCGUCUGUAGGUUGUUUAAAAAGUCUGCAGUUAAAGGUUGAAGCUUAACUUCAAAAAUGCCGUAGAAACUUUUAAACUAGAGGAUGGUAGGGGUAGAGGGAAUUUCCAGUGGAGCGGUGAAAUGUGUAGAUAUUGGAAAGAACACCAACGGCGAAAGCACUCUGCUGGGCCGACACUGACACUGAGAGACGAAAGCUAGGGGAGCGAAUGGG
rnacentral:rRNA from 1 species